rnacentral:lncRNA from 10 species
CAUAUAUACUAAUAGAAGGAUAAAGACAUAAAAAUAUUAUAGAUAAAUAGAUACACAUCACCAUCUUUUUAUUGAAGAAAAUUAAAUUUCAUGCACUAGACAUCAACAAAAGAAAAGAAACCAAUGAAGUGCUGAAGGAACCGGAUAAGUUCUCAUAAAAGUUUUCUAACCCAAGUAAUAUUAGUUCCUGGAAGAUUCUUCUAAGAUAAAGAAAAAUAAAAAUGAAUAAUAGGUUAUUGUCUUUAGUUUUGUAAAGUUUAUUUUUGUUGUUGCUUCACAUCCUCACUAAUGUUGUGUUAUUACUCUUUUAAAUGUUAGGUGUUUAGUGGAAUUCUCUUUUUUUUUUUUUUUGAGAUGGAGUCUGGCUCUGUCACCCAGGCUGGGAUGCAAAGCCGCGAUCUCGGUUGAGUGCAACCUCCACCUCCUGGGUUCAAGCGAUUCUCCUUCCUUAGCCUCCCAAGUAGCUGGGAUUACGGGCACACACUGCUACACCCAGCUAAUUUUUUAUUUUUAGUAGAGACAGGGUUUUGCUAUGUUGGCCAGGCUGGUCUCAAACCCCUGACCUCAAGCGAUCGACCAGUCUCAACCUCUCAAAGUGUUAGAAUUACAGGCAUGAGAAUUGCUUGAACCCAGGAGGCGGAGGUCGCGGUGAGCCGAGAUUGCACCAUUGCACUCCAGCCUGGGCGAGAAGAGUGAAACUCUGUCUCAAAAAAAAAAAAAAAAAAAAAGAAAGAAAAGAAAGUAAACUCCAGUAGAUUUAAUACUCUUAGCUAAAAGAUGCUUGGCAAGAAAUGUGUAAUAUUAUUAGGAAAGUCUCUCUAUGGAUUUUUAUAACUGAAUUUUCAUUGAGAUAAUCCUAGAUUCACAUGGAUGUAUAAGAAAUAAUAAGAGGGCUGGGCGUGGUGGCUCACGCCUGUA